rnacentral:rRNA from 1 species
UCAUAGUACGUGAAACUGCUUAGAGGUUAAGCCCGAUGAACCUGAAUAUCCUUAUGAAAAAUUCAUCAUUAUAACUGUGGUAUUUAAUUUUAAAUAUCAUAAUAAUAGUGUGCAUUUUUUUCAUAUAAGGACAUUGUAAUCUAUUAACAUAAUAAAGUAUUUAUCAAAAGAUCAUUGGUUUUAAGUUUAUUCAAAUUAAUUUGCUUUUAGCUUAUUAACAUAGAAUAAAUACUGAUGAUUUGAUAAAGUGUUGAUAGAUUUUAUUAUAUAUAAUGCUAAAAUUCUUUUGAAUUUUACAAUAAUAUUAUUAUCAUUGAUUUUAAUAUUAAUUGUAUGCAUUUAUAUGAUUAACAAUGCGAAAGAUUCAGGAUACCUUCGGGACCCGUCUUGAAACACGGACCAAGGAGUCUAACAUAUGUGCAAGUCAUUGGGUUAUAUUAAACCUAAUGGCGUAAUUAACUUAACUGUAUGGGAUUAAUUUUUAGUGUAUUACACUAUUAAUUCAAUCCCGGGGCGUUCCAUAUAGUUAUGUAUAAUGAUAAUUUAUUAUUAUUUAUACCUCUAACUGGAGCGUACCUUGAGCAUAUAUGCUGUGACCCGAAAGAUGGUGAACUAUACUUGAUCAGGUUGAAGUCAGGGGAAACCCUGAUGGAAGACCGAAACAGUUCUGACGUGCAAAUCGAUUGUCAGAAUUGAGUAUAGGGGCGAAAGACCAAUCGAACCAUCUGUACUG